GACGAACGCUGGCGGCGUGCCUAAUACAUGCAAGUCGAGCGCAGGAAGCUGACGGAACUCUUCGGAGGGAAGGCAGCGGAAUGAGCGGCGGACGGGUGAGUAACACGUAAGGAACCUGCCUCAAGGAUUGGGAUAACUCCGAGAAAUCGGAGCUAAUACCGGAUAGUUCAACGGACCGCAUGGUCCGCUGAUGAAAGGCGCUCCGGCGUCACCUUGAGAUGGCCUUGCGGUGCAUUAGCUAGUUGGUGGGGUAACGGCCCACCAAGGCGACGAUGAAUAGCAGACGUGAGAGGGUGAUCGGCAACACGGGGACUGGGAAACGGCCCAGACUCCUACGGGAGGCAGCAGUAGGGAAUCUUCCACAAUGGACGAAAGUCUGAUGGAGCAACGCCGCGUGAGUGAUGAAGGUUUUCGGAUCGUAAAACUCUGUUGUAAGGGAAGAACACGUACGAGAGGAAAUGCUCGUACCUUGACGGUACCUUACGAGAAAGCCACGGCUAACUACGUGCCAGCCGCCGCAGUAA
rnacentral:rRNA from 1 species